rnacentral:lncRNA from 1 species
GACUUGAUAUAGGCAGAGAACAAGCAGAAAAUUAUUUAGAAUAUCCAGUGGAAUCCAUCAUUAUAUUUUUGAGACUAUUAAUCUGCCAAUGUGAAGUACAGGAGAGAGAGGCAAGAGCAGGGCCCACUAGUGGAUUCAGCUCAGCCUUAUUCCCCAGGGGAAAACACAUUCUUUUUCACUUUCCUGAGCUGCCUUAUCUGAUAAAAAUGAUUCUUACAUCUCCCAGCAAUGCCUUCUGAUUGUAAUGUAGUUUAUGCCACUGGUUUGCCUAUUUCUCAAAUAUAAACCUACACACACGUACACACAUUUGGCCUUAGCCUUUCUAAUUCCACUCUCAUCAGGACAG